GCAGUCGAGCGGACCGAAGGGAGCUUGCUCUUUUAGGUUAGCGGCGGACGGGUGAGUAACACGUGGGCAACCUGCCCUGCAGACUGGGAUAACUUCGGGAAACCGGAGCUAAUACCGGAUAACACCGAAAACCGCAUGGUUUUCGGUUGAAAGGCGGCUUUUAGCUGUCACUGCAGGAUGGGCCCGCGGCGCAUUAGCUAGUUGGUGAGGUAACGGCUCACCAAGGCGACGAUGCGUAGCCGACCUGAGAGGGUGACCGGCCACACUGGGACUGAGACACGGCCCAGACUCCUACGGGAGGCAGCAGUAGGGAAUCUUCCGCAAUGGACGAAAGUCUGACGGAGCAACGCCGCGUGAGCGAAGAAGGUCUUCGGAUCGUAAAGCUCUGUUGUCAGGGAAGAACAAGUACCGUUCGAACAGGGCGGUACCUUGACGGUACCUGACGAGGAAGCCACGGCUAACUACGUGCCAGCAGCCGCGGUAAU
rnacentral:rRNA from 1 species